rnacentral:lncRNA from 1 species
GUUAAUCGACGCAGAAGCGCCAGGUAUCACCUUUCUUUUGUGUUAGAGUAAAACGAGAUUGAAUAAAAGUAAUAGACGAUCAGUCCUGAUUUCUAUUGAUUCUCAAGUUUAUAUACAUCUGGAAGAGGUGCGAAGAAGAGGUGCCUGUUCGGAGGCAUCCCUCCAGAACAGGUGCCUGUUGGCAAUAGAGAGAUAGAAUAGACAUGACUUUUCGGGGUUGGACACCCUUUCCUAAUUAAUUUCUAACACUCCCCCUUGUACAACACCGUUCCUUGAAUGCUUCAUUGUUGAAAGUUUCUUGCAUAUAUAGAUGUUCCAUCUUGAGAAAUCUUAGAUAAUCUUGAGAGUCUCCCCCAAAAACCCUGUGGGAAAAAUAUGAGGAGAAUAGAGUAGAUAUGUUGCUAAAACUCCUUUAAACCCAGUGGGAAAAAUAAGGAGAAAAUGAUGCAACAUAUGAUGAUUAUUGUCUCUUGAUAACUCAUAUGAAAAAAAACCUUUGAAGAAGGAGAAAACUCAUUGAUAAGUUUAAAGAACAAUUAAUAUGUCUUGAGUACUUCCUUUAAAAACCCUGAUAGGGAAAAUAGAAAGUAUGACAUAUGAUCUUUGAGAAGAUAUUGCCUCACUAAAAACCAUUAUGAGAAACUUUGAUAGAAAACUCAUAAGGGGAAAGAGUGCAAUCGUACAUGCCAUUGAAAACUCCUUUAAAACCCAAUGGGAAAAAUACAAGGAGAAAAUGAUAUAGCAUAUAAAGACACUUGUGUUUAUAUUGUCUCGUUAAAAACCUUUUAUGAGAAACCAAUAGGGAAAACUCAUCAAGGGAAAAAGAGUACAAUAUAUGCAAUCUGAUGAUUGUUAAUAGGUUAUAGUUUGGGACAUUACUCCCCCUGAACUUUGCAAAUAUGAAGGAUGUCUCAUACCAAUUCCAUUGACAUGAACAUGAGAUUGUGUAUAAUUUGUUGGAUUAUAACAGUAGUUUGUUUGCAAAUUAUUUCCUCACUUUUCUAUAAUCUGUGAGGCUAAGUAAUUUCCGAGCAAUGUGAUUUAUGAUAUUGCUCUUCAUAUAACCUAUAGGUAUUGAGUAACACAAGUGGAAGUAUCUUGAUAAAUCAAGUUAUGUGAUUCUGAUGAAUCUCAACCACGUGAUUUUGAGUGUGGUUAACCAUUCUACUAAGUUAUGCAUAUUUUGCAAUGCCUUUAGAUAAAGCAAUUAUGUUAGAAUGAUAACUGGAAAUAACCACUAAAAUACAUUUAUAUGACUUCCAUGUGAAGGCUAUUCCAGCAAAUUCAGUCAUUGAUAUGGCAUCGUUGGGAUCAAAUAAAGAGCCAAUAUCAUUACAUCAUAUCAUGGUCAUAUCUUCUAUUUCCUGGUGGAAAUAUCCAAGAUUUACUGUAAUCUUCAGAUAUAAGAUGAUAUUACUUAUAUCAACCAUAUACCUUUUGUUGGGGUUUGCCCUCUGAAUAAAGAUAGCAAAUAUAGUGUCAGGCCUGACGUAGUUUGCAAGUAUAUGAGUGCUUUGGCAUUAGUGAGAUAUAGAACUUCAGGUCCUAGUAUCACUUCAUUAUCACCCCUAGGUAUAAAUGGAUUUGUACCUUAUCAAAGGUAGUAUGACCAUACAUGUCUUUUGUUGAUAUGAUAUAUCCAAAUUGAACUUCUCGUAUAUGUUUGGAUAUAUGUAGACUGAUCUGUAUUCUUGAGAGAAUGCUCAAGUUGUAAACUUAAGCUAAAUUUGGUUGAAUCCAAAUUUUCCGUCUUGAGAUGAUUUUGUGUAUGUUUAGGUCUUGUAGAGACAUUGAUGAUGAAUUUAUGAUAUAAGGAAUUCAAAUUUGGGAUACCUUUAUUAACAUAUAAACAAUUUAUCAUCCUUUGAAUAAUCCUUUGAAGAAGGAACUCAUUUAGUCGGUAGUACCAUAUGAUUUCCGACUAUUUCAAGCCAUAGAGUGACUUCUGAAAUUUUACACAUAUAUGUUGCGAUUUAUUUUGGAUUCGGAAUUGUAAGCCCUUGAGGUACUUCGUUAUAAAUUUCCGAAAUGAGUAACCCAUAUGAGUAUGUAGUCACUUCAUCCAUUAACUACAUGGAUAAUAUUAUUUGUACUGCCAAUGAUAUUUGUUAUCGAAACUUAAUUCCACUCAUACCAAGAGGGUAUGUUACAUCAUAAUUUGAUGUCGGGUCUCUGUGUGAACCCUUUUGCUACAAGACUCGCUUUCUCACCACCUCAUUGACUUUGUCUAUGAAUGAGAAGUUUUUAGUAUUCCAUAUGGAAGAUACUUAUGAGGAGUAGGUAUUACUGUGGUAAAUACCACUCGUUUGUAGAGCGAGUGCUAUUCUUCAUUACUUGCUUCCUUUUAUGUGAACCAAUAUGAGUACAAGAGGCACUCUACCAUGGAUUUUGGUUCAGGGCCCAAAAGGUUUUAGCAAUUUUCAGAAGAAAUAUAUGUCGACAAAUGUAGACUUAUGUUAUAUGAUUCUGGAGGAAUCAAUGAAAUUUGUGGAAAGGUAUUUAUUCCUUUUAACUCCUUGUGAUUUCCUACAACAAUGGAGUCAAGGUGUUCGAUGUCCCGACACGAAAACAUUUGUGCACAUUUAUGUCGGGCUUUGGAUGAUGAGCAUCCAGUGAGGUGUCUUUCAACUUGAUGUUGAAUUACAUUUACUGGUUGAGGAUUUGAUUUCCUCUAUUUCCGCGGAAGCAUAUGCGAGAUUAUAUCUCGUGUGGUCAGAUUUCUCCCCCUCUUGCUCUCAUUUCGGGAGAAGAGUGGUUUAUCAGGUACCUCCACUCUUUGUGACACUUUACUGCAGGAAUAUAAAAUUGAGUGACACCUUUGUCAUCAGUAAAUGUAUGUGGCAGAUUUGCAAUGUGUUGCAAAUAUGUGAUUCUAAACUUCUUGUUCAGAUUCUUUGAGUACAUGGAUAUAAGGACUGAAUGUGAAUAACAUUACUAAUUUAUUUCUUGGCAUUCUUUGUGGUACUUAUCUCCCCCUAAUGCCAGAAAUGUCCUUAUUGCUGAUGCAAUCAGCAUACGGGCUAUGAAUAAUUUUGAUUGACGGAUAAAUUGUCAUUCCUCACUUAGAUCCCUAAUUUUCUGUGAGAGCCCAUUGAUGUAUGCUGGAGUGGUGAUAUCGGUAUGUAAUAGAAUUAUCGCAGAUAGGAAAUACUUUGUUGAUUUCCACGUAAUUACUAAAAGGGGAAAGUAGUAUGCUAUGCAGUUGGUAUGAUUUAUAUCAUACUUACGGUGUGUAAUGCCGUAUUUUGUCUAGCAUGAGGCUAGUAAAUCAUGAUUCUAUAAGUUUGGUCAUAUUAUUAAUUUCACUAUCUUUGAUAAGAUAUUCAACUAAACCAUUUUGGGUAUGUACAUAAAGUAUUAUAUAUAAUCAGAUAUUUCUUGUGAAAUGAGUUCAACAAAGUUGUCCAUUCGAAUGGAUUUAUCCCUUGUUUAGUAUAACUUGCUCUUACUUUGAUAAUUUGAGCAAUUGAUUUAGUUAUAUCAUUCAUGGUUUGUGUGACAAGAGACACACUAGAAUCAUUUUAUAAAUGUUUCCAUGAGUACCAUAAAGUAUCUAUAAAAUACCACACAAUGGUUGAGAAUGCACAUAUCUUCUGAAUGUGUUCAAGGAAGAAUGAGUUGGCUCAUUUAGAAUUGUAAGGUGAGAGUUCCUUAAAUUAAUUUCCCUUAUGGCACAUGUGGUGUACAUAAAAUCUGAUGAUUUGGGAAAUUUUGCAACUUGUUAAGUUGUGACCAAUAGAAUUGUCAAUAAUUUUCUAAACAACCCCAAACCUGGAUUGUAAGGCUUAAAACCAAAUAUUUUGUAAGAUUUAGAAAAUUAUUGUGUACGCAACAAAACUGAGUAUGAAUUGAUUCAUACAUUCAAAAAAUUUCAAACAUGACGUCCAAGAAAUAGAAUGUUGGACAUUAUACUACAUGUAGUAGUACAACUAUAAGCAAACAAUAUUUUGGGAAUAAUCGGGAUAUUACAUGAGGUCUCCCAUAUUACUGAAAAAUGAAUUAUGCAAACAUAUUAUAGGCGCAAACGAAUUGAUCAUUCUUUUAUUGCACUAUAUUUUUGGUUCUCCUUCUGAUGAAGAUUUGAGAACAUCAUUUACCAGAAUAGUUUCUGGUCGUAUGUUUGCAAAUUUCAAAUAUCCCAAUAAACUUAUUUGCCUUUUAAUAAAUUCAUGGUGUGGUUUGACCAUAUGUUUGAGGGUUUGAUAAUCAUAUGUACGAUAUUUAUGUAACCACACAUUUGACAAACUUGAGAGUUGUCUUUGUGAUCAUUUGAAAAUGAUCAAUUCCCAAUUAAAAGGUAAUUCUAACAUCGAUUGUCUUUAGCCUCCACUUUACUUUGAAUUCCUCAUGGUUCUAUUUUGUGAAAUGUGACUUGCUAAUCAAUACUAGCAAAUAUUUGAAAUAAUGGUAUAGCACCCGUUGGGUGAAUAUGAUGAUUUUGAGAAAUAAUAUGUUUCUUUACCAUGAAAAUGGUAAUGCCAUCAUAAGAAGAUGUAAAGUGCAUCAAGGGCUUUUCAACCCGAUCUGCAUAUGAAAAUGUCAGAUCAUGAGAUCUCAACUUCAAGUUGAUUUUAUAAUUACCAAAAUUGUAAGUUGCGAUAGACUUGAGGUCUUGAAAAAUUAUUGGGUGAUCAUUCCAAAUGUGGUCGGGGCAGCAUGUUUCUCUUAAGGGAAAUAUUCAAGGUGAAUAAAUAUUCAUUCAUUAUGUACUUAGUUUGAGAACUAAGUGAAGUUGGUGAGAGAUGAAAUACAUAUGAUCAUACUUAGCUAUUAAGAGAAUAGCCAUGGCACAUAUUCCGAAGGUGAGGUUAUAGUAGCAAUAAUACCUCGGGGUGGAUACAACGACUGAUGUCGUAAAUCAUCUUACAAUAAAUAAUCUCACCUAACAUGUACUUACUGUAUUUCGAAAUGUGAGCCACGCGUUACUUGAAAAUGCUAAUGCAUUUAUUUAAUUUACUUCUAGGAGUAAGUGGCAUCUAUAAAUAAAUGAUUUGUUUGAGAACAAUCAUGGUCAAGGUGAUCCUUGGUGAACCUGGGUGUAUCCUUCAAUAUAACACAUGUGAUUAAAUUAUUGCUAAUGUUUUGGACUUCAUUCUUGAGGAAGUGUGUGACUUUAGAGUCACUGCCAAAAUGUAUAGACUUGCAUGCUUAACAUUGGUUAGUCACUAUGAAAUUAUAACCACGAUGUCCUGUGGACCUUGCAAAAGUGUUGAGACACUUAAUCAUUGUCAUAAAUUAUGUGGUCCAUCAUGAUGGAUGGACGACACUAUAAUUAGAAAUAUUGUCGUAGGCUUCAUUGCUAUGUAUUUUACCAAUGUAAUAGAAGGUAAUCACAAGUAAAUGCAAAUAUUUAUGUAGUUCCCUAUGACAUAUUCAAGCAAAAAGAGGCUUGAAUAAUUGAUAUUGGUAGAUAAUACCAUUCAACAUGCAAUAAUCAUGCAUGAAUUUACUAUGAUAGUAAAUCAUUUUAGUGAACAACAACAAUUGCUUCAGAGGAGCAAAUUUUAGUACGGCUGAUGCCAUAUAGCCAUAUGUGUAGACCUCAAUUUAUAUAGGAUAACACUUUAAGGAUAAUCACCAAUAUGGUGUAGAUCUCGCAGUAAUAGAAAACAUAGUCUGACGAUGUUUAUAAUUCUAUUACCUUAUGUUAUGCUAAAUGUAUGAAAUCACUUUGAAGGCAAUCAUUUGUCAAAGUGACAUGAUGUAGACCUUGCAGUAAUAGUGGAUAAUCUGCAAAUUAAGCAGUAGAUGCCAACAAUACCUGGUGAUUUCUUGAGGUAGUCACAUUUAAUAUUAAUAUUUGGAAGAGCAUUUUAAAGGUAGUCAUCUUGUUAAAUGACAAGACGUAGACUUUACAAUAUUGAUGGAUAAUCUGCAAAAUAUGCAGGAGAUGCCAUCAAAUACCUUGUGAUUCCAAAUUUAAUUUUAACUGUAUAAUAUAGUUGUUGCGCUGAAAUUACAUGUUAUGGAGAAUGCUUGAGGCAGACAGAUUGAACAUGUUGAUUUAUUUUUUCUAGAUAGAAUUGUCAUUUACAAUCUGUAAAUGCAAUAUGGAAAGUGAGUCUCCUAUCCAAACUUGUAAAUAGUUGAUCGCCAAAUCUACUAUUUAAAGUAUGGAUACAUACUAAAUUGGGGAAGAAAAGUAAGUCUGGUUGAAUAAAACUGCAUGGACGUGUACUUGUUAUACACGUACAGUAAAACUGCAGGGAUGUGUACAGUAAAAUUGCAGGGACGUGUACUUGUUAUACAGAAGUACAAGGGCUAAUCGGAAUAAUGUCAAAGAGAUAAGGAUUUCCCCAAUCAUCUCUCUUUCCCGUGCGGCUUCAAAUCAGGAGUUCUACCUGUCACCACCGCUGCUAGGGAUUUGCCCUACCGGCCAAAAAAAAAAUUGCGCCGCACGCGCCGGAGGAUUGGGCUGCUCUGCCGCCACCUCAUCUCAGGUCGUGGCCUCGACGGGACUGCGCCGGAACUGCGCCUGAAGGCGCCGUGUUCUGGCCGGUUGGUAGAUGACAGCGUCGUGCAGCCGGAUGGAUCCGUCGCUCCAAUCGCCGGUUGUUGGCCGCGUCUGAGGACGCGCCACCGGGAGCCGUGAUGGGAGCGCGUCCGCACGGCUUGUGACGCGUCGCGGUCGUGAUGUGAGGCACGCGUGCGCUGUAUGCGGAGGCCGAAGGGCGCUUCCGAGGUGUGAGCCAGGAGGGCUUGCGCGCCCGAUGCUACGCACCAGAGGGUGUUGUCGCUGCAGCGCCGUUGGUCUUCUGCGCGCCGUUGGUCUUCUGUGCGCCUCCCUCUGCCGCUAAUGCCGGAGCGUCUAAUUGGCUGGAGGGCGUCACACCAGAUAUGCUGCAGCGCCGGAGGAGCCAAGCCGAAGGGCGCUGUGCACCAGGCGUGGGCCGGAGGGACCAUCGCUGCACCGCCGACGUGCCGCUGCCUCCUGUUUCCGAGCGGCGCUGAAUCGAGGAGGUCGCCACGCGCGUGCCGGAGGGCGUAGCUGCGGAGGGCCGACCGUGGGUCGUGGCCUUGGCGCCGCAUCGACGACAAAUGUUCGAGUUCGUCGUCGGUGAUUCGUUGCGAUGCGCGAGUGCAUCUGCCAUCAUUCUUUCGGUGAUCAGUUUGAUUUCUAUUGAUUCUCAAGUUUAUAUACAUCUGGAAGAGGUGCGAAGAAGAGGUGACUAUUCGGAGGCAUCCUUUCAGAACAGGUGCUUGUUGGCAAUAGAGAGAUAGAAUAGACAUGACUUUUCGGGGUUGGACACCCUUUCCUAAUUAAUUUCUAACAUUUUGCACGAGCAAAAUCGGAGAGAAAAAGGGAUUAGCACUAAUAAGGCGGACAAUGCCACGUGAGAGCAUUUCUACUCCAUUUCAUCUUUUUCUUGAGAUGAAUAACGGUUGUGUUUGACUAUAACAGGUUGAGGUCCUCAAAUCAGCGGAAUAUGGUGGGCGCAAUCGCGUCGUCAUGUCAACUAUUGUGGUUUAGCAAAGAGAUGUUGUAAAUCUUGUAACAAGCUGGUCACCUUGCAAGAGCAUGAGUGGGUGUUGUCGUGGUGAGAAGGGACUCUGUAACAACAUAAUCUAUUCUAAAUAGUUUUGGUGGUUGAUAACGAUGUUUUUUACGAAUUAAUUGUGUGCAUUAAACUUUCAAAGAAUUAUCAGGCGGCACGAGACGGUUAUUUUCUCCUCACUGGUUGAAAGAGAAGACGAUGCUUACCUAUCGAUUUAGUGUUGGUGGACUAUCAAGAGGGAAUCCGCGUAUAGAAAGGUUGGGCGAAACAAACUCACACACACUUGCACCCCAUCCGAUUCCCGAAGCAAUGG